GACGAACGCUGGCGGCGUGCUUAACACAUGCAAGUCGAACGGAAAGGCCCUGCUUUUGUGGGGUGCUCGAGUGGCGAACGGGUGAGUAACACGUGAGUAACCUGCCCUUGACUUUGGGAUAACUUCAGGAAACUGGGGCUAAUACCGGAUAGGAGCUCCUGCUGCAUGGUGGGGGUUGGAAAGUUUCGGCGGUUGGGGAUGGACUCGCGGCUUAUCAGCUUGUUGGUGGGGUAGUGGCUUACCAAGGCUUUGACGGGUAGCCGGCCUGAGAGGGUGACCGGCCACAUUGGGACUGAGAUACGGCCCCAACUCCUAAGGGAGGGAGGAGGUGGGAAUAUUGCACAAUGGGCGGAAGCCUGAUGCAGCAACGCCGCGUGCGGGAUGACGGCCUUCGGGUUGUAAACCGCUUUCGCCUGUGACGAAGCGUGAGUGACGGUAAUGGGUAAAGAAGCACCGGCUAACUACGUG
rnacentral:rRNA from 1 species